rnacentral:rRNA from 1 species
UGGGGGAAUUUUGGACAAUGGGCGAAAGCCUGAUCCAGCAAUGCCGCGUGUGUGAAGAAGGCCUUCGGGUUGUAAAGCACUUUUGUCCGGAAAGAAAUCCUUGGCUCUAAUACAGUCGGGGGAUGACGGUACCGGAAGAAUAAGCACCGGCUAACUACGUGCCAGCAGCCGCGGUAAUACGUAGGGUGCAAGCGUUAAUCGGAAUUACUGGGCGUAAAGCGUGCGCAGGCGGUUUGCUAAGACCGAUGUGAAAUCCCCGGGCUCAACCUGGGAACUGCAUUGGUGACUGGCAGGCUAGAGUAUGGCAGAGGGGGGUAGAAUUCCACGUGUAGCAGUGAAAUGCGUAGAGAUGUGGAGGAAUACCGAUGGCGAAGGCAGCCCCCUGGGCCAAUACUGACGCUCAUGCACGAAAGCGUGGGGAGCAAACAGGAUUAGAUACCCUGGUAGUCCACGCCCUAAACGAUGUCAACUAGUUGUUGGGGAUUCAUUUCCUUAGUAACGUAGCUAACGCGUGAAGUUGACCGCCUGGGGAGUACGGUCGCAAGAUUAAAACUAAUGAAUUGACGGGGUCAUAGCUG